GGUGAACGCUGGCGGCGUGCUUAACACAUGCAAGUCGAACGAGAACGGAAUAUAGCUUGCUAUAUUUGUCAGCUAAGUGGCGCACGGGUGAGUAAUGUAUAGAUAACCUGCCCUUAAGAAAGGAAUAACAGUUGGAAACGACUGCUAAUGCCCUAUAUGCCUUUAAUACAUAAGUAUGCAAGGGAAACGCUUUAGUGCUUAAGGAUGGGUCUGUAUGGUAUCAGCUUGUUGGUGAGGUAAUGGCUCACCAAGGCUAUGACGCCUAACUGGUUUGAGAGGAUGAUCAGUCACACUGGAACGGAGACACGGUCCAGACUCCUACGGGAGGCAGCAGUGGGGAAUAUUGCACAAUGGACGAAAGUCUGAUGCAGCAACGCCGCGUGGAGGAUGACACAUUUCGGUGCGUAAACUCCUUUUAUAUAGGAAGAUAAUGACGGUACUAUAUGAAUAAGCACCGGCUAACUCCGUGCCAGCAGCCGCCGUAACAC
rnacentral:rRNA from 1 species